UCUGCCGCGGCCGGGAAGUUCGAACAGAAGUCUGGGGAAGAGCCGGCGAAGAGCAAAGAGAUAAUACAGUACUCCCAGCUAUAGCAAGCGGCAGUUAUGGAGCAUGCGCAGCAGCAGGGGCGGCCGCAGGUCGCCGUUCAAUAAUACUCAAGGGAUUUGUACAGCCCUGUAGGAGACACCUCCAGAGAAAGUAACAGCUCUCAAUUGAUUAGCUGAGGUAUGUACUGUGUGACUUAAAUAUUGAGUUUAUUUUUAUCAAAUACCUGUCAAGAAAGAAAGUCAAUUCUGAAACAGCAGAAGCUCAAAGUUCUACAGAUGGCUUUCAAAGGAAUUUGAAUUAGACAUCAUUUGAUGUUGCAAAAAACAAUGACAUCUUUUAUAGCUCUAAACAUCAGUUUUUAAAUUAGAGAUUGAUCUAUAAAGGAGCUAAGUUUGCAUAAUCAUUAUUCAUUUUAAGAUAAUAAUAUAUGAUAGGUACUAAAUUAUAUAGUAGUUUUGUGUAGAGAUUUAUACAUAUUUUCUGAUUGCCAUCAUCACAUCAUCUAAUUAUUUAGAAAUUUCAUUUUCAGAACCUUGGAUUUUGGACAUAGAGCUUUGAAAAAUAUUGUACUUUAUUUUGAGAUGAAAAUGUGGUCAUUCACAUUUUCACAGACCUGCGUGGAGCAAUCUGCAGGGUGGGGGUGAGAUUUGGGAGUAGAGGGGAGGUGGUAAUAGACACACACAAAACUUGUU
rnacentral:lncRNA from 1 species